GCUGCUGGAGGGAACAUUUAAUCCAACCACUCUCUUACAGGUUAAAGAUAUUAGGGGAAGAGCUAACAACCUCAGUGUGGAAGUCCAGAAGGGUUGGUGGCAGACUUUUUGUUCUAGUGAGUAGCCAGUUUUCAAUGUUGGAUGGCUGCCAGAGGGAACCUUAUCAUUAUGUCUCAGUCUGUAUGUUUGUGUGUCUAAGUGUGUAAAUGAAAAUAUCUUUCUACCUCCAGAUGGUAUUAAUGAAAUUGAUUUAAAGACAAGCGCUUGUGAAAAUUGGGCAUUCUAAAACUUCCAGAAAAUCUGAUAAAAAAUGUUAAGCAUUAAUGCUAAUUUGGGUUUGCCUGAGGUGGGCAUGUCCUUGUAGUUAUCAGCUGCCUAAGUUUACCUAAGGUCAUUUAAGUCGAUGUUAUCUGCUAAAUCUUUUAAGAAUAAAAUGCUUAAAGGCUUGGCUUUGUCUAAUAUUCAGUAAAGGUCUUGUAAGUAAUCUAGCAUAUUACAUAGGAUUAAGUGAACUAAGGAAGAUGGUUUUGUGACUUUUUGUUUCAGAUGUUGCUGAUAAAGUGUUUUAAGCUUUUUCUCUUAAGCUGACAACAGUUUCAUGAAUGACAAUACCUUUAUAAGCAGAAUUGAAACAUUUAUCUUUCUCUCUACCUGACCCCUCAAGAAUUUAAAAGCUUUCAGUAUUUUUAUGUUUCAUGGCAGUAUGUUUAUUUGCAUAAGUUCAAUAAGAACCUGCAUUCCUUGUAAGAGGACCAAUUAAAAACACAGGUUAUACUACCAA